rnacentral:rRNA from 1 species
GAUCAUGGCUUAGGAUGAACGCUAGCUACAGGCUUAACACAUGCAAGUCGAGGGGCAGCAUCAUCAAAGCUUGCUUUGAUGGAUGGCGACCGGCGCACGGGUGAGUAACACGUAUCCAACCUGCCGACAACACUGGGAUAGCCUUUCGAAAGAAAGAUUAAUACCGGAUGGCAUAGUUUUCCCGCAUGGGAUAAUUAUUAAAGAAUUUCGGUUGUCGAUGGGGAUGCGUUCCAUUAGG